AGGUGUGGAUAGCGGAGAAAUUCCAAUCGAACCCGGAGAUAGCUGGUUCUCCUCGAAAUAGCUUUAGGGCUAGCCUCAUGAGAGUCUUAUGGAGGUAGAGCACUGAAUUGCCUAGGGGGCGUCAAAGCUUACCAAAGCAUAUCAAACUCCGAAUGCCAUCAAGAUGAUUCAUGGGAGUCAGACCAUACGAGAUAAGUUGGAUGGUCAAAAGGGAAAGAGCCCAGACCUACAGCUAAGGUCCCAAAGUGCGUGUUAAGUGGAAAAGGAUGUGGGGAUUCUAAGACAACUAGGACGUUGGCUUAGAAGCAGCCAUUCAUUGAAAGAGUGCGUAAUAGCUCACUAGUCGAGAGUCCCUGCGCCGAAAAUGUCCGGGGCUGAAACACGACACCGAAGCUUAGGAAUGUGUAAACAUUGGUAGAGGAGCAUUGCUGGCGGGAUGAAGCCAUACCGAAAGGAGUGGUGGACUGCCAGGAAGAGAGAAUGCCGGAAUGAGUAGCGAGAUGAAGGUGAGAAUCCUUCAGGCCGAAUAUCUAAGGUUUCCAGAGUAAAGCUGAUCUGCUCUGGGUAAGUCGGGACCUAAGGCGAGGUCGAAAGACGUAGUCGAUGGAUAACAGGUUGAAAUUCCUGUACCGCAUAUAAACAGAACUGUGGGGACACAGACAGGGAAUGGAAUCCGGGAAUGGAGAUCCCGGUGCAAGCGAGGUAGGAGUGCUGCUGGCAAAUCCGCAGCAUGAUCUGAAGACGUGAUGCGUACCGAACAUAAGUAGGGAAGUCCAGGCCCCUGGCUGUCAAGAAAAGCCGCUAUUGUUUUAUAUGUGCCCGUACCGCAAACCGACACAGGUGGAUGAGGAGAGAAUCCUAAGGCCGACGGGAGAAGUAUUGUUAAGGAACUCGGCAAAAUGACUCCGUAACUUCGGGAGAAGGAGUGCCAUGAGAGUGGCCGCAGAGAAAUGGCCCAAGCAACUGUUUAGCAAAAACACAGGUCUAUGCAAAACCGCAAGGUGAAGUAUAUGGGCUGACGCCUGCCCGGUGCUGGAAGGUUAAGGGGAGAGGUUAGCGCAAGCGAAGCUUUGAACUUAAGCCCCAGUAAACGGCGGCCGUAACUAUAACGGUCCUAAGGUAGCGAAAUUCCUUGUCGGGUAAGUUCCGACCCGC
rnacentral:rRNA from 1 species